CGCGGCCUAUCAGCUUGUUGGUGAGGUAACGGCUCACCAAGGCAUCGACGGGUAGCUGGUCUGAGAGGACGAUCAGCCACACUGGGACUGAGACACGGCCCAGACCCCUACGGGAGGCAGCAGUAGGGAAUCUUGCGCAAUGGGCGAAAGCCUGACGCAGCAACGCCGCGUGGGGGAUGAAUGCUUUCGGGUUGUAAACCCCUUUCAGCAGGGACGAAAAUGACGGUACCUGCAGAAGAAGCUCCGGCCAACUACGUGCCAGCAGCCGCGGUAAUACGUAGGGAGCGAGCGUUGUCCGGAAUUAUUGGGCGUAAAGAGCUCGUAGGCGGUUCAGUAAGUCGGGUGUGAAAACUCAAGGCUCAACCUUGAGACGCCACUCGAUACUGCUGUGACUUGAGUCCGGUAGAGGAGUGUGGAAUUCCUGGUGUAGCGGUGAAAUGCGCAGAUAUCAGGAGGAACACCAGCGGCGAAGGCGGCACUCUGGGCCGGUACUGACGCUGAGGAGCGAAAGCAUGGGGAGCAAACAGGAUUAGAUACCCUGGUAGUCCUUGCCGUAAACGUUGGGCACUAGGUAUGGGAUCAUAUCAACGGAUUCCGUGCCGUAGCUAACGCAUUAAGUGCCCCGCCUGGGGAGUACGG
rnacentral:rRNA from 1 species